GGUGUGAGUCUGGAGAGAGGGAGGGUGGGGGAUAUCAUAUCUCUGGUGAUAUCAAAUAAGAAAGAUCACAAAACUUUGAAGUGGGGGGUUUUCUCUUUUCACUGAGAUGGCUAUCCUGAGUAAAAAGACAAAACAAAACAAAACAAAACAAACAAACAAACAACCUCUUAACAGACUUGGAGCCCUAGGCACAGGAAAGGGCCCUUCUGGGAAGAAUGUGUCAUGAGCACAGUUGAAAAACUGGUUUGAGGAAAUGGUAAGUAACUUACUAUCUUCUGGAGGAAAUGUUGGAGACAGGGAUAUAGAGGAAAGAGAAAGAUGGAAGGAACUGUGUAAACCAGUUCAUACAGAAAGAAAGCAUGCCUCAGAAUGAAACCAGGGCGAGGAAGAGGCUGGGAAAGUAAAAGGCAAGAUCAGAGCUACAGAGCCUCAGAGCUACAGAGCUCUAGGGACAGCUUGUGGGCUUGGGAAUCUUCCGAGUUCAUCAGAUGAGUCUCACCUGCCCUCCUUCAAUUGACUCCAAAUAGCCAAAUACAUGACAGCUCACGCAGAAAGCCCAGUUUCCUUGACCCUAAGUCUUAAUCCUCUCAACUGGUAACAAUCUGUACCUUGAAUGUAAGAAAUGAAUGUCCUAUAUGAAAUGUUUCUGAAUCUACUACUCAGAAACUAUGAAAGAAAAGGCUCCCGCUCCAACAGGGCUUUCUCUAUAAUGUUUCAAAGAACAUGCUUCAUUUGAGCCAAACAGAAAUAAGAUAUAAUGAUAAUAAUAAUAAUAAUAAUAAUAAUAAUAAUAAUGAGUUCAUGGUGGUACAUGACAAUAAUCCCAGCUCUCGAGUGGCAAAGACAGGAGGAUUGUAGCAAGUUCUAGGCUCACUGAGAAUACCAGGUCAGCCAUGGUGACUAGUAAGACCCUGCCUAAAAUAAAUAAUUUGUCUUAACUAGCAAGGAAAGUAGUGAUUCAUUCCUGUGCUUCUGGGGGAAAUCUAUAUACUCACACUAAAUGUCAACAUCCAUUCUAAAGAGACUCAAGCUUUCACUUGCUAAUUGCUAGGGAAGGUGACUGAUGGGCCCAAUCGGAGUGCCUUCUGGGACCAAGCAGGACCGUUAUUGGAUAUUGCCAAUAGGACACGAGCAGGAGUGGGAAGUGAGAACUCUACUCCAUGGGAUGGUUCCACCCACAUUCAGGAUGGGUCCUCUACCCUCACUUCCCCUCGAAGAAAGCCCUGACAAACAGGCAAAGUCCUCACCAGCCCAUCUGAUGGAGACAAUUUCCUAACUGAGGAUCUCACUUCCCAGAUGACUGGACCUUGUGCCAAGCUGACAGAAAACCAACCAGCAAAGAAUCCAUCAACUGGAACUCUGCCCUGUUUGAAAUUCACUGAAGGACUUUGAGAUGGACAAAACACCAGACUGUGCACUACCAUCACUUCCGCCACAGGUUGCUUGGCUCACUGACUCAGCUGGAGGCCUGUCUGUCUGGAUGCUUUCAGUAUCACACCCUCAGUGACACACUGGUCUCUUGCCUCAUCAGUUUCUCCUGGGGGUGUUAUUACCUAACAUGCACUAAGCAUGUAAUUGGAGCCAUUAAAAUGUGAGAGACAGAGAAGAUAAGAUCAUGGCCAGAGAAAAUGCAUCUGCAAUGUAAACGCACUGGGAAAGAGGAAAGGAUGUUUUAUUCUGAAAACUGACUUGCAAACAAACCAACAUUCAGUUACCAGCACUCACAUAGUGGCUUACAACCAUCCGUAACUCCAGUUCCAGGAGAUCCAUUCUCUUCUGGCCUCUGCAGGCACUGCACAUCCAUAAUGACACGUAUGUAUGUAACAUAAAUGCAGGAACUCCUGCCUCCCACACAUAAAGUAAAUAUUUUUCUAAGAAAGAAAGAAAAUAGCUCUAGACAUUGCUAACUGCACCUUCGAGCCCUAAGUUGACCUGGGCUGAGAAUUACCGAGUUGGGUAGAUAAUUGACAUUGCUCAAUAGAAAGAGCUCCCCUCCCCCGGCCUUCUCUCCAUAUUGAUCCUUCCUUGAUGGAAAGCAAUCUCAGUUGUGUUGGCCCUACAACUGUAUCUCACGCAAAGGAGGCAGUAGCUGCUUGUCAUCUUUUCAUAAAAGAAACAGUUUAUUGUUUCGUUCCUAGUGGCGAUAUACAUUUUUGUAUACAAAACUGAAAGCACACCGAGUUUCCAAAAACUUUAAGCCAUUGUUAAAGGAAAGAUUUGAACCUUUCAUGAUGGUAUACACCUAUAAUCCUAGGACCAAGAAUUUCAGGCCAGGACUAUCCAAACACUCAAAGAGACAAUUUCCCAUCACAAUUCCAUGCUGGGGGCUUACAAGGAAUUAGGCUCAGCCCAGGUGAUCUAUUCUGAAAACCUAUCUCUUUAACCCGGAGCCAGAGAAAAGUAGAGCAGGCCUGUGCAUCUUGCCAUGACCUGUGCAUCUUGCCUUUUCUUUUAGAAUGGAAACAACAGACCAGCAGGACAGCAGAGAAAGCCUCACUGUGCCUAAUGGUCCCAGCAACUAGGAAUAGCUCAAUUUAGAAGAGGCAGAUCAUUUUUUACUACAUAAACUCUAGAGAGAUGUAAAAGUUGACAUGAGAAAUCAGAAAGUACUUGUGUCUGCAAUAAAAAGCCAGCGUCAUUCUAGUAGCAAUGGCUUUAGAAUACAUAAGGUAGAGAGAAGACUAUGUAGACACAAAUGGGAAAGUUGAAUCCCUGAAUAGAGAAAUUAGUGGAACGGGCAAGGAAUUCUGAAAGCACAGCUAGGCAAGAGCACAUAGAUUCAGUCGAAGUGGAGCCCGGAAGAUCCAUGAUCCUUCUGUAGGCUAGAAUGUACCCGGUACAUUUCAGUAGUCUCCGAGCCAUCUGUACAGCUUGUAAAAACAGAGUGCUGGGCCUGUCCCAGCUUUUGACUCAGUGGGUCUGGGCAUGUCCUCAAAUUUACAUGUCUGACAAGUUUCCCAAUGGUGCUGAGGCUGCCUGCCCAUUUGUUACUGAGAACCACUGGCACAGUGGUUCUAUUGGAAGCCGUAGAAGACAGAAGGAGACAGGGACCCAAGCUUGAACCCUCUAGGGACCUUGUUAUUAACAUCACUGUACAAUAGAGCAGGUUUUCUCUGGAGAUAGGACCCAUUCCUCAUACACAUGAUAUCCUGCCAGAUCUUCUAAAGAUGCUGAGUGUGAAUUAAGGAGGAGGGCUCACUCCCAGGAGGACACUAAGAUGCUCUGACUUCUCCAAAAUAAAGCAAUUCAUCCAGUUUUUGUUAAAAAAAAAGAUUAGGAAAAAUAUCAAAAUCAUAGCAUCCAAGAAGACAUAUAACCGGUUCAGAGGACUUGUGACAGUUAAUCUUUAUUAUCAACUUGACCACAUUGAGGAUCACUUAGAGGGCACACCUCUGAGAAGACUUGGGAGGAUGCUCCAGAGAGGACUGAUGGAGGAGCUCUAUCCCAUGGCAGGUUCUCAUACUGGAUGAAGAGGAAAAGAAGAAGUCUUUUCCUGAGCAUUGCAUUCAUCAUUCUGCUUCCUGAUGGCAAAUGCAGCACAGCCAGCUGCCUUGUUCCCCUGUCCCAUGCUGUCCCCACCAUGCUGGACUGGACCCUAGAACUACAAGCCACAAAAGCCCUUCUGUUCUUAAUGAUGCUUUGGUCAGGUGUUUCAUCACAGCAGUGAGGAAAGUGCCUAUUGUAGGAUUCCCCUGUAUUUACACAAAUUGUGGCUCAUGUCCAACCCUUUCUGCAUAAAGAGUUGAUUUCUAGCUUCCAUUCUCUUAUUGGGGUGAUAAAUAGAAAUACCUCCCACUGAAAAUCAUGUUUGAUUGGUGCAGGCCCCUAAACUGAGUCAGGUAGGCCUCUACACCCAUGAUGUGGCACUGAGUCAUGUCUGCCAAGCCUACUAACACAACAGGAGAAAAUCCAAGGCAAAGAGCAGAACCCCAGAGGGGGCUCCCAUCACCAGGGCUGCUGGGUGAAGCCGGAGAGCACUGGGGCUUGAAUAUCAGAUAAGCUACCAAACUGUUAAUGUAGCAUGUCCCAAAUAUUUAGGAAGCUUAUCAUAAAUAAAUACAAAAAUUGAGUAGCCUUUUAUUUUCUAA